AAAAACUGGCUGGGCGUGGUGGCUCACGCCUAUAAUCCCAACACUUUGGGAGGCCAAGGGCGGGCAGAUCACUUGAGGACUUCAAGGCUCUAAGGAUGGAAGAGCUAUAGUUGGAAAGAGCCUGGGUACCUGAAUCACUGUAUGGAGGAAAAUCACUUGUUGAGCAGGAACAUCCUCAUUGGACUAGUUAUAAAUUGGGUUAGUAACAUUGAAGAGACACUUCUCACCUGCCUGAAAUGCCCUUCAUUAUCUUCUUCCAGUUGCAUGGGCUCUGGAACGGCCCUUGCAGUGCUCCCAUAAAGGAGCCUGAGCUGAGUCCACACGCUGGAAUCCCAGAGCUGCGGGAACAGGUGGAAGAAAGAAAGUCAGCAGGUUUGGGGGAUGAGAAUAAUCCACAAAGGACGAGCCAUUGGUAAAUGAAAACCAAAGAAGGGAGAAUAAGGACAAACCAGGACAGAAGCCUCAGGGGAAAUGGCAAUGCUGUGAUCAUUCAAACCCUCAAGGAGCAGCGUGAGCUGAGCAGUGGGGACUGAGAGAAACUGACUCGACAGGAAUCUCCUGCCUCUGGCCAGGGAGAGCCACAGGUUAGAUCAGAGCUGGUUUAUAGUGAGGGGCAGCAGCAACUC